rnacentral:lncRNA from 1 species
UGGGCGUGUGUUCGAUCAGAAGAAGAGAAAGAAAAGGGGUCAAACCCUAGAACACCAAAAUCUAUCAAAUUGAAAGGGGAAUUGAAGCCUAGUUGAAUGCAUGAACUAAGAAUGAUGAUCAUCUAAGCAUACCCAACAUCAAGAAACCCCAAAUUGGCAUGGACUCAAGUAUGGAAGGCUAACGGAUCAAGAGGAAAUGAGGAAGCUAUGCACAAACUUGGAUGCACGAGGUAAGUGAUUCCGUAAUCACUUCUUAGUAUGUUUAAGUAAUGUAGCGUUUUAAUUAAUUAAUUAAACAUGAUGUCUAAAGUCAAAUGUGGCUUAGGAUGUAUGAAAUUAGUGGAUUUCAUUAAGUAGACCAAUGGGUCAAAUUAAGGUCUUAUGAUUAUGGUGAAAUGUUGCAUAAGAUAUGGCUACCGUACUAUAACUGGUUAAUGGGUAGAAUUGCUUGUAAGUACGUGAUCCGGGAAUCGGAGAUGCGGUUUAAUGGUCAACAUAAUCAGAGGUGGGUUUGGUUUAAUAGAUAAACCAUUAUGUAAGUGGAGGUUUUAGUAACGAAGUUUGAUUCGUAGACUUAAAUGAAAUGAAUGAGUUUAACGAAUACCGGGUAUUGGGUGUGUAAACCCCAAGUACGAAACUCCGGAUAAAGUAAAAGUAUUAUGAUUAUAAUGUUCAUGUAUGUUUUGGGAUAAAACAAAUGAGUGGUUUGAUGAAAACAUGAACGGGUCGAAUAAUUAGAAAAUGACUAUUAAGUCGAAAGCGCGUAAGUUAAGAAUUUCCUUUAACCGAAAGUGGGAUAUGAAGUCCAUAUGAUAGAGGGUUAAAUUACGAUCACGUAGGAAAAAGAAUCGGGUAAAUCGGAUAAAAAAUGAGAGAGUUAUGUCCGUUUUGGUAAGAAUUAAUGGCUGGGAAAAGUGCAGAGCUAACACGGCCGGGUGGUGAGUUGACACGGCCGGGGGAAGGUUCUGUCAAAAAUAUUAUUUAUGUGAUUUAUGCAUCGUAGGCUUCAGUAUAUUAUCCGUGGACUACGGUGGGCCUCCCAAACAUGAUUUCGAGUGUUCCCUUGACGAUUAUAAGUUGUAAACCCAAGUCUAAGCCUCAUGUAAUUUAUAUAAGAGUAUGAUAGAUGUAUGUAAUGAAGUUGGACAUGCAUUACAUGUAAAUGGUAUACAAGAAUGCGUACGGAACACGUAGGUAUGAAUACAUGAUUGUAGGUAUGAUUGAAUGUAUAUUAGGUAUGUAGAUGUGUAUGAUUGUAAGUAUGUAUGUGUUCAAGUAUGUGCGAAUGCAUGAUUUGGAUGCAUUUGAGAAUUAACGUUACUAACAAUUCCCUUGAGUUUGGGAUGUAAUGCAGGAAUGAGAAUGUCGGAUUCUUAUGAAGUCGAAGCCGAACUCGGAACAAGAGACUUAGAGAGAAUAGUCGAAUGAAUCGAAGCUAUAUUGUCGAACAUUAUACGAAAGUUAAUUGUGUGAGAAUAUUGUUGUAUGAGGUUGUUAAUGACUAAUGAUUAAGUUGUAUGUGAUAUUCACAGGUACCAUAUGGAUUUCUUCUUCUACUAACAAAGAUGAGCGGACGAGGAUCGAGUCAAGAGCAAGGAUUGUACGGGAAGGAUCGGUCACAUAGUUUAACAAAUGUAGGUCCAAAGUAUUAAUAUAAUGGAACGUGGUAAAUACUUUUUAAUGAGUGUAUGACAUUGGUAUUCGAACUUUCCUGUAAGUACUAUGUCUAUUAAAGAACGAAAUUUUGGGUUCAUAUUUUCCGCUGUGUUGUAUUUUUAAGUUUUUACAAGUUAGUCUUACAGGGAAUUGUUCAUAAUACGAACGGGUCAUGCCCAAUUUUUGUUAAAUUAUAGUAUGAUAAUAUCACAUUUAGGAAGGUGAAACCUUGGGUGUUUCAAGUUGGUAUCAGAGCCAUGGUUUGAGUGAAAUCAAGUAGAAGGAGGUAAAUACUUGAACUCAAACGGUGUGCUCUCGUGACCAAGAACCCGUACAAUCCAAGACUCGAUCAAGGCCUAAAGGCAAAAGCGAAUGUAAGUAUGUAUUAGAUUAUGUAUUUGAAGGAAACUAAUAGUAUUUUAUGUGAAGGGUAAGCACAAUGGUUUGGAAGGGAGAAUCCGUGAAUGCGGUCUAGGACCGACAUCAAGGUGCCAGUACAAGAUCUACAGAUAAUUAUGACCCUGGAGCAGGUAUAUGGACACUGUCCUAAGGUCACAGGCUCCUAGAAGUUUAUUAUUGCCUCGCUUCCCUAGCACGCUAGUAGCUUAAACACCUGUCACAUACGUUAAAAUAAAAGUCAAAACAUAUAAUGUAAAGGUGAGUACACAAGUUUGAUAUAGCAUAUAAAGUUCGAAAGUUUACGC